GUGCACAAGUGAACGUGCCAUAUUUUAUGUUUGCUCACGCAAACACCUCAGGACGAAAUAACUGAGACUAAUUUUCUGGAAAACCUUAGCACUGAAACACCUUGCCAUGAAUCUCUCAUUUUACGUGGUCGCGUAUCUAAACGAUCAGUGCAAGGAACUGUUUAACUAGACGGAAGUGACCAAGAGGCGCAGUAAGACCAACAAAAAUCUUAUCCCAGAGACGUAUCAUCGCAACACAUAUAGAGAGCACUGUAUCAGCCCAACCUACGAACACCUAGGGGGAAAAAGCAUUUGAAUUCUAUCCUGCCUGCUAUGCUCGUUUCGUGGCUGUCGGCUGUGUCCAGCGCAUUUCCUGGCAUCAGUUGCACGCGGCCGAUAGCGACCCCUUCGAAAGACAAGCUGGAUGCUGCGUCAACAGCGCGGACCUGUUGCGUGAUCGUCCAUGAAUGACACGCACCAACCGAACUCGCCUUCCUCCGGGCCGGCCAAUGAACGACUGCAUCAUCAUCUCAUGAGGAUUUAAGCAGCUGGCACGCCAACACACUCUUCAGUAGGCAUGGGAGCAGCACCUUCGUAGCGGCUCCUAAUCGGCAACUUUUCAUUAUCUUUUCUCGCAUACAGCGAAAAGUGUGUAACCACUUUUCGCUGUAUGCGAGAAAAACCGAUGACCGUUGUACCCUGCUGUUCCCGUGCCCACUGGUGUUGCGUAAAACUUUGUCGGAGUGUUUUUGUGUGGCAUUAUUAUUACUGUGUUGUGGUGCCGUUGAAUCAAACCCCGGGCCCACUACUCGCUCAGAAGCACUUCUUGACAUUGAAAGCCUGCCUGACAACCCUACCAAACAGAUGGGCGUUCUCUUCCGGUUACAGGGAGAUGUUCGUGCCCGCUCACUCUAAAGUUCUAAAUUUCAGGCUGAGGUUGUGGCAGAUAUCAAAAGUAUUAAAACCGGACAAAAGACUAUUGAAAUGAAUGUCUCGAACAUUCCACAAAGACUGAACGCCCUGGAGGAAACAUGUCGUGCUGUGUAUGACCUUGGUGCGCAAAUUUCAGAAUCACAGUCCACUGCAGGUUCUUUAGCCACACAAAAUGCUCUUUUGCAGUCACGUAUCGAUGAACUUGAAGACCGUUCACGCCGUGACAACUUGCUGUUUUAUGGGUUGCCUGACUCAAAGGAAACCUGGCAACAAACUGAAAGAAUAUUUACUACAAUUCUAAACGAAGUGAUACCCUCACUUCCCUCUGGUUGAAUCAAACAGGCGCAUCGUAUACGCAGCCUUUUUCUAAACAAAUGUCAUCCAGUUAUCGCGAAGUUUCUGAACUUUAAAGUGAAAGAACAAAUACUUUCGGUAUUUAAGCAUUUCAAACGGAAAAAUAUUGUACUAUACGAAGAUUUUUGUCCAGCCACCCACAUUGCCUGGAAAAAGCUUACUGAACUUGCUAAAAAUCAACCCGGUUCCCCUCCCUUUUUGCUGAGUCACAAAAAGCUCACCAUAAACAAAAACUUACAAAGCAAACACUGACCGUAUUGAAGAUUUUCAGAGCAAUAAACACCUUGUUUUACGACAAACCG
rnacentral:lncRNA from 1 species